CGACUUAGAUGGAGACCCAAAAUUCGCGCCCCGCUCUCAAUUCAUGCGCGCUGUUCAGUCUCCCAGCCACAACCCUGGUUCUCUCUCUGUUCUCGAAAGCUCUCAACCUAAGUCUCAACGACGAAGUCGAUUUCGGCGAGCACAGCCUCAACGACGACAAGUUUCGAGAUUUUUCUGGUUAAUGUUGGGUGAGCUUUCUGGCUGGUGCUGAACUCGAAGCCGCUUUUUCCUGUUUCUCCAUUUGCUUGCUAGAUCCAAAUAGAAUGAUUUAUUGGGAGAAACGAGCCACACACGGUUCAUCUUUUCUUGUCUCCCACGCAUUUCUAAUUGGUAACUUGACGUUCUAGUAUUAAGAUCAAUCGUGUUGACUGAAUUUCAUUAUCCCAAGGUAUUGUUCUUUUUUGCUUUAUGACUCUAAUUGGAUUUCGAAGCUUUGGCGCAAGAAGCAGUCAGAUGUUAUUCUACUGUUUUUGAGUGCUCGUACCAUUAUCCAAGCUUAUCUAACCAGGAAUUUUUUGCUUAACCUGAUACAGCCUCAAAUAUUUCAAAAGAUGCGAGUUGAUCUGGCUUCUAUGUGGAGUCCUACUAGCAGAACAGGAAACUUGAGGAGAUUCUCUGUAAAAGGCAACUUGAUACCUUUGAACGAGAAUGCUUCAAAUUCUUUCUACAAUGAAUCCUUGACAUUCAAUGAGGACGUAAGUAUGAAGGUAUGCAUCAUGAGAAUUAAAUUCUG